CCAGAAGAGAGAGAGCACAGC
rnacentral:miRNA from 1 species